AUACGGGGGGUGCAAGCGUUAUUCGGAUUUAUUGGGCGUAAAGAGCGCGUAGGCGGCUUGGUAAGUCAGAUGUGAAAGCCCGGGGCUCAACCCCGGAAGCGCAUUUGAAACUAUCAGGCUUGAGUAGGGGAGAGGGAAGUGGAAUUCCUGGUGUAGAGGUGAAAUUCGUAGAUAUCAGGAGGAACACCGGUGGCGAAGGCGACUUCCUGGACCAAUACUGACGCUGAGGCGCGAAGGCGUGGGGAGCAAACAGGAUUAGAUACCCCAGUAGUCC
rnacentral:rRNA from 1 species